AGCUGAGAUGGCAGUUGUUGGGCUAUAAAAGCUUGAAUGAGAGUUGCCAGCUGGUUAGGUCCUGCUUGUAGGUAAGUAACGUUGUGGGUUGCUUGGGAGAAUUUUUCACUUUUUUACGAUGCAUGCAACAGGCAGUAAAAAAAAGGAUACCUGAGCUUAUUAGCGUAACAUUUCGUUAAGUCAUAUGUAGUUCUGAUACGUUGAUUGAUCUCGAAAUUUAUUUAUUUUAUAUAAACUUUAUUGCUCUUUUUUUUUAUUUUACAAAGUUACACAAAAACAAUAUUUAAUAUUUCAUUUAAACAAUAAACACAACAAACAAAAAAUGAAAAUAAAUAUCUAAGUUUUGCACAUACCUUAUUGUAACUAAUUUAUGUAUCACCAAAAUAGUCUGCAAAGCUUGAUAUAUUGACCAAAGGAAUAAAAAGAAAAAUGAAGAAGUCAAAGCUAGAUUGUAGUUAUUGUGGAGCCUUUAGUGUUGGGUUGAGGGUAUGACUUUUACAUUCAUAGUUCGAUGCCUUAUAAGGGAGAAGAUAAAAAGAUGGAAAUAUAGAGUGAAGAUUUAUUUAAUUAUGAAUUCUAGAAGCAUGGGACUGCUUGAUAAAAGUCCUUAAAGGAACACUAUAGUCACCUAAAUUACUUUAGCUAAAUAAAGCAGUUUUAGUGUAUAGAUCAUUCCCCUGCAAUUUCACUGCUCAAUUCACUGUCAUUUAGGAGUUAAAUCACUUUGUUUCUGUUUAUGCAGCCCUCCCCUGGCUAUGAUUGACAGAGCCUGCAUGAAAAAAAACUGGUUUCACUUUCAAACAGAUGUAAUUUACCUUAAAUAAUUGUAUCUCAAUCUCUAAAUUGAACUUUAAUCACAUACAGGAGGCUCUUGCAGGGUCUAGCAAGCUAUUAACAUAGCAGGGGAUAAGAAAAUCUUAAUUAAACAGAACUUGCAAUAAAGAAAGCCUAAAUAGGGCUCUCUUUACAGGAAGUGUUUAUGGAAGGCUGUGCAAGUCACAUGCAGGGAGGUGUGACUAGGGUUCAUAAACAAAGGGAUUUAACUCCUAAAUGGCAGAGGAUUAAGCAGUGAGGCUGCAGGGGCAUGUUCUAUACACCAAAACCGCUUCAUUAAGCUAAAGUUGUUCAGGUGACUAUAGUGUCCCUUUAAAGUAAGGAAGGGAGAACUGGAUAGGCUUGGUUAUGAGAAGGGUGGAGUGGGGGUGGACUUAAUUGAUAUUUAUUGAAAUUUCUUAAAUUUUAAUCAUUUUCUCUCUCUUCUUUUUUUAAUUCCAGGGAACUGUUGUAUUUUUUUUUCCCAUUAAACAUCUGAAAUAAAAUGUAAGUAGUAAUACAUAGCUUUGUAUUGUGGAAAAAUGGCAAUAUUAGAAAGAAAAUGAUGCUUUUAUAUCUAGUAACUUGAAAUUGAUGAAAUCAAAGCCGUUUUCCUGGCACUAUAGAUUUUUAAGUCCAGUUAUGACAAAAUAUUAACAUAACCAAGAAAGGUUGGCUAAAAUAGCCGCUUUGCACAUUAUUUUAAAAUAAAAAGUAAGAUAUAGUAUUUGAAAAUUCAAUCUCCAUUAUUCAUGGAGUGGCAUUUUCAAGUUAAAAUUAGACUCCAUAAAUUAAAACACAAUUAAUAAUUUCACUCUACAGUGCUUUACCACUUGCCCUCUAGGUGGCGCUUCAAUCACUGUUUAGGUCUCAGGGAAAUCAAUCCAUUUGGUUUUUAGAUAUUCAUAUUCUCUUAUCUUAUAAAGCUACCUAGGGUAGUACAUAAGGAAAUUUAGCAAUAUGGUCUGACACCGUAGGGAUCACUUUAUAAUAUUUUAUUUAUUUGUAUACUUUACCUAACUGGUCACAAACUGAAAAAUGAAUGGCAAACCUUAGGGUUAAACAGCCAAGCAGAGAUGUAGAAAUUUUCCAAAUCAGAUUAUUUAGUCUCAUUUUGCAGUCUAUGUUUAAAUUUACUGGCUAUUUAGUUUAGAAUUUAGUGUUAACCAUAUAAGAGCCCACUAUCAUCAAGUCAAUCAACAAAGCAGAACAGUCUAGGGGAGUGAAUACAUGACCAUUCAUUAACUAAAAGUUACUUGACAACCAUUGCAACAUUUAAGCCUAACUUGGUGGUUAACCCCCUUUUUUGCCAAAAACUCACUGUUUUGCUUAUAUACCACUAUACAAGACAUGACAAGAGUAGUGUGCGUAGCUCAAAAUUUUCCCAUUGAUUCUCUGAAAAUCAUAAAGUAGACCCUUAAAGGAACACUAUAGUCACCUAAAUUACUUUAGCUAAAUAAACCAGUUUUAGUGUAUAGAUCAUGCUUCUCAGGUUUCACUGCUCAAUUCACUGUCAUUUAGGAGUUAAAUCACUUUGUUUCUGUUUAUGCAGCCCUAGCCACACCUCCCCUGUCUAUGAUUGACAGAGCCUACAUGAAAAAAAAAACUGGUUUCACUUUCAAACAGAUGUAAUUUACCUUAAAUAAUUGUAUCUCAAUCUCUAAAUUGAACUUUAAUCACAUACAGGAGGCUCUUGCAGGGUCUAGCAAGCUAUUAACAUGGCAGGGGAUAAGAAAAUCUUAAUUAAACAGAACUUGCAAUAAAGAAAGCCUAAAUAGGGCUCUCUUUACAGGAAGUGUUUAUGGAAGGCUGUGCAAGUCACAUGCAGGGAGGUGUGACUAGGGUUCAUAAACAAAGGGAUUUAACUCCUAAAUGGCAGAGGAUUGAGCAGUGAGGCUGCAGGGGCAUGUUCUAUACACCAAAACUGCUUCAUUAAGCUAAAGUUGUUCAGGUGACUAUAGUGUCCCUUUAACCAUUCAGCAUUAGAAUCAUCUUCCUCCAUAAUAAUUUCUCUGUAGCAAUUAUGUAUGUAUCGGAAAAUAGCUAUAUUUAUUUCACAUGGCCUCCAACUCAAAUGCCAAAUGUGUGUGUGCGGCCAAGAUUUAAGAAUUAUUUCUCAUAACAAUUACUGUUCUACUUUUUUAAGUGUGGAAAUCAAUACUGACGAUGAGAGGAAAUUUGACUAUGUAACGUUUUAUUGUACGUCUGGGUAAAAUAGAGAUUAAUUUAAGAUAUGUGUAUUUUGUAGACACCAGCAAUCAUGGGUGACGGGGAGAUGGCCUGUUUCGGAGAGGCUGCCCAGUUUCUCCGUAAAUCUGAUAAAGAACGAUUGGAAGCCCAGAAUAGGCCAUUUGAUGCCAAGAACACCUGCUUCGUAGAUGACCAAAAAGAGUUGUACGUGAAAGGUCUAGUCACAGCUCGUGAAGAUGGCAAAAUCACUGUGAAAACUGAUGAUGGAAGGGUAAAUAUAAAAUUCUAUUACUUAUCAUACCAGCUGUUAAUUACUGUUAAUUGUGACCUUAACUGAAAUAUGCCUCUCUUCUUCUAGACUGUAACUGUUAAAGACAGCCAAGUUUAUCCUCAAAAUCCCCCCAAGUAUGACAAAAUUGAAGACAUGGCCAUGAUGACCCAUUUGAAUGAAGCCUCUGUGUUGUAUAACCUCAAAGAACGUUAUGCAGCAUGGAUGAUCUACGUAAGUUGGGGCUCUUUCUCCAUAGAAAGACCAGAUAAACAGUUUAAGUAAAAAGUGUGCACCUCCCCUACUUAAACUAUUUAAGGAAAAUAAUAAAACAAGAGUGACAUAGAACAACUUUAUAUACCAUUUCUUGUGUAUAAGAAAAUCCAUGCCUGGAGUUAGAAAUGUGCCUCCUAAAUGUUCCCCUUACAAUAUAUUAAAAUAAUUAAUCAGCUUUUUAGUAAAAUAUUUACUGACCCUUUAUUGUGGAAACAUUCUAACUCUUUACUUGUCCCCUUUACAUAUAAAUUGAUGCUAUUUGUUUUGUUGGCCGUUUAGACCUACUCUGGCCUUUUCUGCGUCACUGUGAAUCCCUACAAGUGGCUCCCAGUGUACAACCCUGAGGUGGUUGCUGGUUACAGAGGGAAGAAACGUAUGGAAGCCCCACCUCACAUCUUCUCCAUCUCUGAUAACGCUUAUCAGUUCAUGCUAACAGGUGCCUGGCCAUUUCUUCUGUGUAACAGUCUUAAUUUAUCAACACAUAAUACUAUGAAUAUUCUAUUAAUCCACAUCUCCUGUUUGCAGAUCGUGUCAAUCAGUCUGUCCUGAUUACGUAAGUACUUUGUCAGUAUAUUGUCAUUGUAUCUUUCAAGUUCUAGUCAUUUCUUCAGCUUUUCUAGACGUUCUAUAUUUUAAUCUUCUUUAUCCAUAGUGGAGAAUCUGGUGCCGGAAAGACUGUGAACACAAAACGUGUCAUCCAGUAUUUUGCAACAAUUGCGGCUAUUGGAGAGAAAGGCAAACAAAAGGAGCCAGCUAACAGCUUGAAGGUAAUACAGCUAUUGGGAUUAUUAAUACAUAGUUAAAGAACCGAAAGGCUCAAAGCAUAUCUAAUCUGCUAUACAUUACUCUCUGUCCACUGGUGUCAUGCUACUGAGAAGUCACUUACUUGACUUCUAUUCAUAUGUAGUUAACUAGGUUGAAAACAGAUACCAAACCCCUCCACAUCUUCAUUAACAAAUAUUCUGCUGAUCCAGAACAAGAUGCAGAACAUUUUUACUGUAGAUUUAGUACAUCUAUGCAUAAUGCUAUGUUUCUAUCUACAUGUGUAGGAUAAGAGAUUAAUGUCCAAAUUAUGAAUUUCAUCCAAUUAACAAGUUUUACUCCUGUAUGACAGGGUACUCUGGAAGAUCAAAUCAUUGAGGCUAACCCUCUGCUGGAAGCUUUCGGUAAUGCCAAGACCGUGAGAAAUGACAACUCCUCUCGUUUUGUAAGUUUUUGUUGGGCAAUAGACAUUUUCAUGUUACCAUCUGUAUGUUUCCCCAUUUUGUUACCAAGUUUACUAAACUCUCACUGUGGUAUUUAGGGUAAAUUCAUCAGAAUUCAUUUCGGCACCACCGGAAAAUUGUCUUCAGCUGAUAUUGAAACAUGUAAGGAAUAUAUUGCAAAUUAAUUUAUCUUUAACUAUUUAUAAAUGGGAUAUAUCAUAUUUCUUAUAUUGGCUUUUAUUUGAACAGAUUUGCUAGAGAAAUCCAGAGUUACCUUCCAGCUGUCUGCUGAAAGAAGCUACCAUAUCUUCUAUCAGAUCAUGACAAACAAGAAACCAGAAAUUGUUGGUAAUUAAACAAAAAAUUUUAAUUCUCCAAAUUCAUAAUUUUAUAACAUGACAGGAGGCUUCGUAUUUGCUUUAGUCUCUCUUUACUAGAACUCCACAGCAGCACAGAAAAACAACCAAUCAGAAAAAAGUUAGGCACUAUAAAACUCCCCUCCCCAUACAUCAUUUCCUCUUUCUUUGCUGCUCCACAUCAGUACAGGUCAGAGUACCACUGCCUCCUGCUUUUAGUGGGUGGCUGUGGGAUUUUAAUGUUUAUUUACAGUAUUCUGUAAUUGGUUUAUUUGGGGAUUUACUGUUUUCUGUAUGUUUUUAUGCUUUCCCCUGAUUACUUCAUUAGAUAUAUUGUGUGUGGAUUUGUGGGGGAGGGAGGGAGGUCUUUGUGGGCCUUCAGUUGCUUGCCUAUCCCUUGGGAUUUCCCCCCUAUCUAUUUCCCCUGUCUAAAUUCCCCUCCUGUCUUUAUUUCUUAUCUGCCCUCUUUUUAUUUUUUGGGCUGUGUUGUAUAUCGCUUGGGGGUUUCAGGAGGCUGAUUGUUGGGCUGCAUCCUCCGAUCCCCCCUAGCUCCGGGACCGCAAAGUACGUCUCCAGCGGUCCCGUGUGAUUUUUACUGGUCUCUGGGAUACUCACGAUCUAACACAUAUACCCGGCGGCCGGAUCCAUUUCCCACGUGGCCGCCUUGCCGCAGCCUGCUCCUUCAGUGGACCGAGUGCGUCCGACCAGGUGGAGGAAGGUGCGCUUGCUCGUGCCCAUCCCCCCACCCUCCGUCUGUGGAGGUCUGACUACGGCGUUGUUUUUUUCCCCCGCUGGGAGUCAGGCUCUACUCCCAGAAUUCUGGACUUAGUGGCAGCCUGAGAGGGCCCUCUCAACCUGCAUCUGGGUUUCUGUCUACUGGACGCCAUAGGUUUCCUUCCAGUGUUGCUCUCUGACACCCUCCUAAUGUAUUGGAGUGCUUGAUACAUGCUAUAUAGACUGGGCUGCACUGGGAUCUCUACAGCUUGCAUAUACCUGUAGUUGGUUGCUGGGCAUUAGGGGACUGCCAGCUAUCUGUUUAAAGUUUUAUACUCACAUUAUUACACUGCCAAGAAGGCUUUUGUGUAUUGGGAUUGUUGUCACCAAGAUGCCCUAAGGAUUUGUAAAUAUAUAUGGGGACUCUACUCACACACAUUGGUCCCUUGCUGCUGUCUUAAUACAGCGCCCGUGAUUGGCCUGCUCUGUCUGUGCCCCUUUGAUUGGCCUGCUCUGAACGGCCUAUUGAUAGGCCGACUUUUGUCUGUGCCAAGAGCCCCCUUUUGGCCGCAGGCCUGGGGGAAUAUUACUGGGGAGAGCCUCCGUACCCACUAUAGACACAAAGAUAUGUGUGUCCAUAUAAGCACUGCUACCAUGCUAUCUGGGGUGACACCUGCCAUCUCUGUCUCUAGGGUCUCGCUACGGUUAAGACAACAACCGCUAUGGACGCCCCUACCCAGGAAAGCCUGCAGGCAAUGAUUAAUGCAGCUGUGGCCGCCUCUGUUAAAAAAGCGGUGUUACGAGAUGGUGGACGUCGUUAUAUUCAUUGUAUCUAGGACUAGUUUUACUCCAUUAUUUUUUUUUCUAUUUUUUUUGUCGCAGCUUGAAAGAGGAAAUUAUGUGUAGGGAGGGGAAUUUUAUAAUACCUUACUUUUUUUCUGAUUGAUGUUAAUGUGCUGCUGUGGAGUUCUAGUAAAGAAAGACUUAAGCAAAUAUUCGCCUCCUAUCAUUAAUAAAAUUAAGAUUUUAGGUACACUAAAGCUAGCAUAAUCUACAAUUAUAUUGACAGGAUAUAACUGAGAUGAAAAGGUAUAAAUCAGACAUUUAAGACUAUUACUUCCAUGUGUAAUGUUUUAUUUUUACCAAUAUAUCUUUUUCUCUAGAAACACUUCUGGUCACAACCAACCCAUACGACUUUCCUUCCAUCAGCCAGGGUGAGAUUGUUGUGAAGAGUAUUGAUGAUGAAGAGGAAUUGUUGGCCACUGAUGUAAGUGCUGAAGUUAUGAAGAAGAGCAUCAACAUUGCAACUUCUGUUCUGAAUACUGGUUUUUAAUUUCAAACUUCCUUUCUCAUCCUACAGAAUGCCAUUGAUGUCCUGGGUUUCACCGCAGAAGAAAAGAUUGGUAUCUACAAACUUACAGGAGCUGUCAUGCACCAUGGCAACCUGAAGUUCAAGCAAAAGCAGAGAGAGGAGCAGGCUGAGCCUGACGGCACUGAAGGUUUGUCUUAGUGUUCAAUGAAAAAAUCUCAGUACAACUGCUACGGAUAUAAAUUAGAAACCUAAUCUCUGCUUAACAUGGAUAAAACUUGUGUCCAAUAUCAGAGGUGGCUCUCUAAUUAGGCUAUUUAGGCGGCCAGCUAAGGUCUUGCAGUGACUGGGGCCUCGCGGCUGCAUAAAUUGCCUUGGGGCAGACUAAUGUGUGAGGACCGACACUAGGAGAGGCUUCGGCAGCUUGCCCUGUAUGCCGCCGGGUGAGGGGGCCCACUAUGCGCAGUCUGCCCAUGGCAGAGAGCCAGCCUACACUAUGUAGCUCUGCCGGGUGCAGAGCUGCAAGACCGUGAAAUGUCUCCCAAUCUCCGCCAAUCAGAGCGUUGCCACGGGUUACCAUGGCAAUGCUCUGACUGGAGCUCACGAGAUACUUAACACAUGGUCUGCUGCUCUGCACACGGCGGAGCUGCAGACCAGAGAGACAGCCCAUCGGACCACCAGGGAGAGCUGCCACAGACCAGCAGGGAGCCAUCACCCGCAAAAAAAGGUAUUUAAAGGUGUCACACCCCCCAAUAUGUGGGGAAAAAAUUUGACUGUUUUGUUAUCUGUAACAUUUGACAAUUUUUUUUUUUUUUUUACUAUGGUUGUUAGUGGGGGCCUCUUGCUUGAGUUUCGCUUAAGGCCUCUCAAAGUCUAGAGCCUCCUCUGUCCAAUAUAUGCAUGCAAUUAUUUCUCUUUUUAACCUGUAGUUGCUGAUAAAAUCGCAUAUUUGAUGGGUUUGAACUCUGCCGAUUUGCUGAAAGCUCUGUGCUACCCAAGAGUAAAGGUCGGCAAUGAAUAUGUCACCAAAGGACAGACUGUCGCACAGGUAAUUAUGUCUCCCGUGUUCUGUCGAUUAUUGUUAAGGUGUCUGCAGUUCUGUGCAGAAGCUCACGCUAUGUCUGUUCCCUUCAGUGUAACAACGCAGUUGGUGCCCUGUGCAAGUCAGUGUAUGAAAAGCUGUUCUUGUGGAUGGUCAUACGUAUCAACCAACAGUUGGACACUAAGCAACCAAGACAGUUCUUCAUUGGUGUGUUGGAUAUCGCUGGUUUUGAAAUCUUUGAUGUAAGUGAACAUUUAUUUAAAACUUUGUCAACUAUAUUUUUAUAACUUAAAACCAAGUACAUUUUAUUUAACCCCCUUUUAUCGUCUACAGUUCAACAGCUUGGAGCAGCUCUGCAUCAACUUCACCAAUGAGAAGCUGCAGCAGUUCUUCAACCACCACAUGUUCGUCCUGGAACAGGAAGAAUACAAGAAGGAAGGCAUUGAUUGGGAGUUCAUUGACUUUGGUAUGGAUCUGGCUGCCUGCAUUGAACUCAUUGAGAAGGUGGGUUCCAAAAAUGAAUCCAGGAAGUUGUGCUGUGGAAACACAGGUUAACGAUGUAUGAAAUUCUCACUGAUAUGUACAUUUUCAGCCCAUGGGCAUCUUCUCAAUCCUUGAAGAGGAGUGCAUGUUCCCCAAGGCCACUGACACAUCCUUCAAGAACAAACUGUAUGAACAGCAUCUUGGCAAGUGCAAGAACUUUGAGAAGCCCAAGCCUGCCAAAGGAAAGGCUGAAGCUCACUUCUCUCUGGUCCACUAUGCUGGUACUGUGGACUACAACAUCAGUGGCUGGCUGGACAAGAACAAGGACCCACUGAACGAUUCUGUUGUUCAGCUUUACCAGAAGUCUUCAAUGAAACUGUUGUCCUUACUCUACUCCAGCUAUGCAGCUACUGAUGGUGGGUUUGAAAAAUGUAUCAUGCCAUAUUAGUGACUGCUUCCACAUUAUCGUGUAUUAGUUUAACACAUAGCUCCCAUUAUCCUUAAAUAACAGAUGGUGCAAAGAGUGGAAAGAAGAAGAAGGGUGGCUCCUUCCAGACUGUGUCUGCUUUGUUCAGGGUAUGUACAUUUUAUAUUGUUUACUUUACACAAAUCUGGACAUUUAUCAGUAUUCUUUUUCGUAACAAAUGUAGCUUUACUUCUACCCCAGUUUAAGCAUCAGACGUAUUUUUCUAUAUCUGUUUUAGGAAAAUCUGAACAAGCUGAUGAGCACCUUGAGAAGCACUCACCCACACUUUGUGCGUUGUUUGAUUCCUAAUGAGUCCAAAACUCCUGGUAAAUUUCUAUUCUGAAUAUAUUUAUUUAAUAAGUAUUAAAGUAUUAAGCAUAACUGAAAAGAGACUUGCGUCCGUCAAGUUCAGCCUUCCUCACAUUUGUUUUUUGCUGUUGAUCCAAAAGAAGACAAAAAAAAAAACUGUUUGAAGCACUUCCAAUUUUGCAAAAAACUAGGAAAUAAAAUUCCUUCUUGACCCCAGAAUGGCAGUCAGAUUAAUCCUUGGAUCAAGCAGCUAUUACCCUACAUUGAAAGAUUAUAUCCUUGAAUAUUCUGUUUUUGCAAGUAUGCAUGUAGUUCCUGUUUGAACAUCUGUAUGGAAUCUGAUAAAACCACUUCUUCAGGCAGAGAAUUCCACAUUCUUAUUGUUUUUACAGUAAAAAAAACAAACUUUUCUUUGCCUUAGACGAAAUCUUCUUUCUUCCAGUCUAAACAAUAAGGGAACAGUGUAUUUCACUGUUGGGAUGUUGUCCACCUUAAACCAUGAUCAAUUUUUCACUCCUUCAGGUAUCAUGGAAAACCAUCUGAUCAUCCACCAGUUGAGAUGUAACGGUGUGUUGGAGGGUAUCAGAAUUUGCAGGAAAGGAUUCCCCAGCAGAAUCAUCUAUGCUGACUUCAAACAACGGUAUAUUUUAUGUACUACUUUAAAUAAACUGAUAGAUUAAAUGAAUAAGUAUUUGUUUUACACGUAUGUGCGAAAAAACAAACAUUGUUUUAUAAAAUUAUACAUUUGCCCUGAAUUUAAACCCCAAAUUGUUUUUUAACUUUUAUGAAGUUACAAAGUGUUGAAUGCCAGCGUUAUUCCGGACGGGCAGUUUGUUGACAGCAAGAAGGCUUCUGAGAAACUUCUGGGCUCCAUUGAUGUUGAUCACACUCAGUACAAAUUUGGCCACACCAAGGUAUAAAGAGACUGAAACAUUAAAGACAAACAUAUACAUUGGUGUUUUAAAGAUUAUUAUAAUGGUUUUCUCUCCUUUGCAGGUGUUCUUCAAAGCUGGUCUUCUGGGUACCCUGGAAGAGAUGAGAGAUGAAAAGUUGGCACAACUUAUUACUCGCACUCAAGCUCUUUGCAGAGGUUUCCUGAUGAGAACCGAGUUCAAGAAGAUGAUUGAGAGACGGUAACGUUUAUGUAAUAUUCUCAAAAAAGUGUUAAUGAAGAACUUUGUGUUAGAAUAAAUACUUAUUUUCUGUAAAUCAAUUACACAGGGAAGCAAUCUACAUCAUCCAGUACAAUGUCAGGUCAUUCAUGAAUGUCAAACACUGGCCUUGGAUGAAACUGUACUUCAAGAUCAAACCUCUCCUGCAGAGUGCUGAGACUGAGAAAGAGAUGGCAAACAUGAAGGAAGAGUUUGAGAAGACCAAGGAAGCCUUGGCAAAGUCAGAAGCCAAGAAGAAAGAACUAGAAGAGAAAAUGGUUUCCCUACUUCAGGAGAAGAAUGAUUUACUCCUGCAAGUUCAGUCGGUAAGAACAUACAAAUAUAAACAGAGUAUAGCUAAACAAAGUCAAAAGCAAAUAUUUUAAAAAUACAUUAUAUUUCCAAUACAGGAAGGUGAGACUUUGGCUGAUGCAGAGGAAAGAUGUGAAGGCCUCAUCAAGAACAAAAUUCAACUGGAAUCUAAAAUCAAGGAGAUCACAGAGAGACUUGAAGAUGAAGAGGAAAGUAAUGCUGAACUUACAGCUAAGAAGAGGAAACUGGAGGAUGAAUGCUCUGAGCUGAAGAAAGAUAUUGAUGAUUUAGAGCUUACAUUGGCCAAAGUAGAAAAAGAAAAACAUGCUACAGAAAACAAGGUGUGAAGACCAAUAAGGAUAACCCUUUUGUUACCUAAGGUUUAAUAAGAUAACAUUAUGUAUUUUGAAUAACAAUUUCUGCUGUAUAUUUAGGUUAAAAACCUCACUGAGGAACUUGCAGUCCUUGAUGAGAAUGUGUCCAAAGUUAGUAAGGAGAAAAAAGCCCUUCAAGAGGCUCACCAACAAACACUUGAUGAUCUGCAAGCUGAAGAGGACAAAGUCAACAGUUUGACAAAAGCCAAGACUAAGCUAGAACAGCAAGUAGAUGACGUACGUACAAGUGGAAAUAGAACAUUAUGUUCUAAAACAUUGUGUUGCUAUUGUCUUGUAACCAUUGUAAUACAACGUGAUUUAUCUCUCCUUAUAGCUUGAAGGAUCUCUAGAACAAGAAAAGAAACUCCGUCUUGAUCUGGAGAGAGCCAAGAGGAAGCUUGAGGGUGAUCUGAAGCUGUCCCAGGAAACAGUCAUGGAUCUUGAAAAUGACAAACAGCAAACUGAUGAAAAACUCAAGAAGUUAGUCUUUAUUGUUAAUGUUUGUUUCUUUUGUUUUAAAACCUAUUUGUUUAGAGCAGUUUAACAAAAGCCAUUAUAUUUUCUGUUAACACACAGGAAGGACUUUGAAAUUAGUCAGCUUCAAUCAAAGAUAGAAGAUGAGCAGUCCCUGGGAUCUCAGUUGCAGAAGAAGAUCAAGGAACUUCAGGUAUGUUUGUGCAAGUCAGUUUUGUAAUCCUCUGAGCUACAUUGCAUUUUCCCUACAACAUUUACCUCUGGUGUUCUAGGCUCGUAUUGAAGAACUUGAGGAGGAAAUUGAAGCAGAACGUGCAGCUCGUGCCAAGGUUGAGAAACAGAGAGCUGAUCUCUCUAGAGAGCUUGAAGAGAUCAGUGAGAGACUUGAAGAGGCCGGAGGUGCUACCUCUGCUCAAAUUGAGCUGAACAAGAAGCGUGAAGCUGAGUUCCAGAAACUGAGACGUGACUUGGAGGAAGCUACCCUUCAGAAUGAAGCUACUUCCAGUUCUCUGCGCAAGAAGCAUGCUGACAGUGUUGCUGAACUUGGGGAACAAAUUGAUAACCUACAACGUGUUAAGCAGAAGCUUGAGAAAGAAAAGAGUGAGCUGAAAAUGGAGAUUGAUGAUCUCGCCAGCAAUCUUGAAAAUAUCUCCAAAUCAAAGGUAAGUAAGUGGUUAGUAAAGAACACUUUUAUAUUUACUAGUCUAUAAUUGUGCAAGCUAUAAUAUUACCAAUUAUCCUUCUAGGCCAACCUUGAAAAAGUGAACCGUGUGCUUGAAGACCAGCUCAGUGAAGUGAAGGCAAAGGAUGAUGAACAUCAACGUCUUCUCAAUGACCUAACUACCCAAAGGGCCCGCUUCCAAACUGAGAAUGGUAUGUAGAAAAAUAAAUUCAAGGAUAUUAAAAGAUUUUGAAGCAAACCAAAUGAUCCAAGGGAAUUGCAAAAUAUAGACCAACAUAGCUAGCUUGAAAACAUUCCCCAAUCCAUCAAUAUUCUGACAGCUUGACUAGUUGAGCCUGAGCUUUUCCAUAGGCUUUACUUUUACCUCAAAGAGUAAACCCUAAAUAUUUACCAAAACUACAUAUACAAGGAUGGUGUUAUAACUCACACAGGUGAUGUAUAUGAGAAAAAAAAAACAGGAUAAUAAAAAUACAACCUGGUGAGAACAUCUAAAAGAAAAGGGAAAAUGUAUAUGGUGAAGUAAGCUAUAUGAAAGGACCACAGUGGGAGGGAGGUCGAAAACUCACAAGUAGGACUACAGUAGCAGGCUUGUCUCCACCACAGGGGCAUAUUCCAAGAGGCUGAUAUCUUCACUUUCCACCUCCUCAAAUAUGUAUGGAAAGAUAAGAAAUAACAAAUAGUACAAUAUUGUAUAUAAAAAGAUUAUAAUUUAAAGUUGUACUUACAAACAUAAAAGGAAGGUAGGCUUAUCUCUACUCCAAGUAUGUUCCACUGUGGAACACUAUCCCGAUAUCCGGUUUCACACUAUGGCAUGCUUUCCACCGUGGAACGCAUAGCCGGAACUUCGGUUUUGUAGUUCCUCUUGUUAAGCCAUUAUAAUAGUUCUGCCAGGCAAUAUGCAUGUAGAAUCGGUGCCCACACAGAAAAUCAGUGUGGUGUCGAAAACAUACCCACCAGAAACAAGUGUCAGUCCAAACGAUUCCUAAAGGCUAAAAGUAUCUAUAUGUAUAUAGAAUCUAUACAAUAUACAGGAAAGGAAUCUCUAUGGUGGGAUAUUUGCAAGAAUAGGGAAAAAAAACGAACAUUAAAAAAUGAAAAUAUUUAGAAUCAACAAAAUAUAAACUGGAAAAAGUAAAAACAAAAAAAUGUAAUAAAAAAAUGACAAAAGAAAAAAAAAAUACUCAUACAUGUGUUUACCCUAAGUAUUGUUUUGAUCUCUCGUUAUACAGUUUAUUUUACAAAGGUCAUAUGAAAUUCGCAUGUCACCCAAGAACAUUUCAAGAAUCCUAAAAAUUAAAAUAGAAAAUUUCAAAAUAUAUAACUUUACAAAACCAACAAACCACAGGUUACGGAGAAAGAUACCGCUGAUAAAUGCCCCGUAAAUGAAAAUAGGAGAAUACAUUCAUUAACAAUAAUAGAAGCAUAAGGUAGCACAGGCAGAAACAAUAAAUGGUGUACUUGGAUAUAAGUAAUUGCCUGAAUUAACAAAACAUCCAGCAAAACAAGAAAUAAAAAAUAGAAUGAAAGGGGCAAAUGAAGACACAUAGAGGAGAAAAGUCGCGAAAUCUGCUAACGAAGAUGAGGGGAAAAGAGCCAUAAAUUAUGUAUUUUAAUAAAGGUUGUGUAGCUAUCAUGAACUGCAGCAGUCAUUGUAUCCAUUGCCUAGUUGAUUUUGCAGAUAAAUGUGGACAUACUGGAGUGUUUACUAUCUGGCAACAGUUCAGCUAUGGCUCUUUGGCUUACCAAUGCAAUUUUAGCUGCCUAUUUAUUUUUAGCGAAUGUGAAUGGGUCCUGAGGUAUAGAGAGUAAUAGAAAACCAAGGACUAUGAAAAAGAGUUUAGACAGAACAUUAGAGAUAAUACAGCAGACCAGAAAGGCUGAAGGUACAACCCAUCUAACAGAGGUCAGUAGGUUUUCGAUGCAUUUUAAAAAGUUUGUGAGUAGUGAGGUACCCGCAUGGUAAAAUUUUGUAAGCCUGUAACUGGUGUGCAAUCAAUAUGGGUAAAGAAGCAGUAUUUCCCAAAUAUCAAAACCUUUGAAACUCAAAAAGAACUACCUUGCUAUUUUCCCCAGAAACUGUUUUAACUAAGACAAAUAUGGGUUUCGAAGGUGAGAAGGUCAACCUAUUUCCAAGUGGGUAGCCAGGGCUCCCCAUUGUCAAGUCACAUUAAAUAGUAAUUUAGUUCAUUGCUACAUACAAUAUUGCUUAAUGAGGUUUGCAAAGCUUUGCAUUAAUUUUUGGUUCACUCUAGGUGAGCUCGCCCGCCAGCUUGAAGAGAGGGAAUCUCUGGUUUCACAGCUCUCAAGAGGAAAGCAAGGCUUCACACAACAAGUAGAGGAACUCAAGAGACAACUUGAGGAGGAAUCAAAGGUAAAACUAUUAGGACUUCUGAAUGUGAAUGUAUUACAAAUUCUUGAUUAGGGCAUUGGAUUAACAGUCUAUAAAGAGAUCACCUGCUAUAUAACAUUCCUUUUCAAACCUUCCAUUCUGUCAUUCCAUUGAAUACAUAUUCCAUUGAAUACAUAUUUCCCGCAUUUUUUCAGGCUAAGAAUGCCCUGGCUCAUGCACUCCAAUCCUCCCGUCAUGACAACGACUUGCUCCGUGAGCAAUAUGAGGAGGAACAAGAAUCCAAGGCUGAGCUUCAGCGCUCUUUGUCCAAAUCAAAUGGUGAAGUUGCUCAAUGGAGGACCAAAUAUGAAACUGAUGCCAUUCAGCGCACAGAGGAACUGGAAGAGGCCAAGUAUGUUCCCACUAAAUAAACCCAAUAUAAACAAUGUUAUCAGGCUUUGAAUAAGGUCCUUAAAUUCUACCUUCAAUGUACGUACAGGAAGAAGCUUGCCCAGCGCUUGCAGGAUGCUGAGGAACAGGUAGAGGCCGUGAACUCUAAAUGUGCCUCCCUAGAAAAGACCAAGCAGAGGCUACAGUCUGAGGUGGAGGACCUGAUGGUGGAUGUUGAGAGAGCCAACAGUGCAGCAGCUGCUCUAGACAAGAAGCAGAGGAACUUCGACAAGGUAGAUAUUGAAAACAGUAUACAGGUCCAUAAAUAAGGUGGCGCAGUAAAUACAGUGAAUGGGGCAAUAUAAUUUAAUUGCAACUACCAACAUGAAAUCUUGGUAAUAAGAUUUAAAUACAGUAGAAAACGAAAGUGCCAGUGCGCAAAAUGUAUAUAAAAUACUCUUUCUGCAUACAAAACAACCUCUUAAGGUGAUGUUUAAAAUUCACCACUUUGGUAUAUUCUGGGUGUAUAUAAAACUGGUAAUAACGUGAUAUUGUAGUUAAGCCUGCAAUAUGGCAAAUAUAUAUAUACUUGCAAACUUGUAAGUACACAAUUGCGGUAUCUUUUAUAUGAACCUGAGAAUACCAUGCAAAAUCAUGUUUGCAAGUAUAUAUAUAUAUGUCAUAUUGCAGGUUGAACUACAAUAUCACGUUAUUACCGGUUUUAUAUACACCCAGAAUACACCAAAGUGGUGAAUUUUAAACAUCACCUUAAGAGGUUGUUUUGCAUGCACGAAGGGUGUUUUUUAUUUUUAUUAUUUCGUUCACCAGCAUUUAGAUAUUGAAAACAAAUUCCUAAAUUUGCGAAUAAAAAAAUAUCUGCAAUAUCAACACAUUAUCAUUCUGUAUUAAUUUAAUAGGUCCUGGUAGAAUGGAAGCAGAAAUACGAAGAGGGUCAGGCUGAGCUGGAGGCAGCUCAGAAAGAAUCCCGUGGCCUGAGCACCGAUAUCUUUAAGCUGAAGAAUGCUUAUGAGGAGGCCUUGGAACAAGUAGAGACCCUGAAACGUGAAAACAAGAACUUGCAACGUAGGUUUAUCUAUAUUACAUUGGUUACAGGAUACAUUGCUAACUUCACAAUAAUUCUUCAACUUAAUUUAAGCAUAUUUUCUAGUAUUAGCAUUAGUAUAGUCAUGCAGAUGGAAACUAAACAACACAUACACAAGAAGUGGAAAUGUGGUAAGGACCAUUUCUGCAAAUGACUGGACUAUGUUGACAUUAUAACAUUUUAUUUAUGAAAUGGGACCUUUAUGUCUCAUAGUCUCCUAAAUCUCUUUCUAUUGUAUUUUCCUCCUUCUGUAGUACUUGUGCCACAACAGAUCCCAACCUCACAUAUAUUAAUGCUGUUGAAUUUCUGCAGAACUUACAAUAAACUUAAAUACACUGUGGAGCAAAGUCUAAAUAAAUAUUUAUUCAUUACUUUUUUAGAGGAGAUCUCAGAUCUCACUGAACAGAUCGGUGAAACUGGUAAAUCCAUUAACGAGCUGGAGAAGGCUAAGAAGCAAGUUGAGCAGGAAAAGAGCGACCUACAGGCUGCCCUGGAGGAAGCAGAGGUAUGUGCCUGAAAUAAAUUAAUAAAAUAUCUGCAACCAAUAUCACCUUUUAAAGGGAUACUUUUAAACAACCAAUGAUACAUGUAUAUUUCUAAUAGGGAUCUUUGGAACAUGAAGAAGCCAAGAUCCUACGUGUUCAGCUGGAACUGAACCAGAUAAAAUCUGAGGUGGACAGAAAAAUUGCAGAGAAGGAUGAAGAGAUUGAACAGCUGAAGAGGAACUCCCAGAGAGCUGUUGAUACCCUGCAGAGCACACUGGAUUCUGAAAUCAGAAGCAGGAAUGAUGCCCUAAGACUGAAGAAGAAGAUGGAAGGAGACUUGAAUGAACUUGAAAUCCAGCUCAGCCAUGCCAACCGCCAGGCUGCAGAGGCACAGAAGCAGCUCCGCAAUGUGCAGGCCCAAUUUAAGGUAUUUCAGGAGUACCAUGCAGAAAAAUAUUUAUAUUUAUUAUUUUUACACUAAUGUUAGAGCCAUUGGUUCUUAAAAUGUGUUGUAUAGAAUAUUGUCCAUAAUAGGUAACACCUUGAACAUAUAAUUUGAUAUUUCUUUAACAGGAUACCCAGCUUCAUCUGGAUGAUGCAGUAAGAGGACAGGAAGAUCUGAAGGAACAGGUGGCCGUGAUUGAACGUAGAACCAACCUGCUGCAGGCUGAACUUGAAGAGAACAGGUCUGCUCUGGAACAGACAGAGAGAUCUCGUAAGGCUGCAGAACAAGAGCUCCUGGAUGCAAGUGAACGCGUCCAGCUUCUGCACUCACAGGUAAAAUAAAUAAGAUGGAAACAAAUUAAAUGUGCAUUGACAGAAUGUGCCUAAUUAGAUGGAAUAAUUAAUACACUAUAUUCGUCUCCACUUCAGAACACCAGCCUCAUCAACACCAAGAAGAAGCUUGAGUCUGACAUUGCUCAACUCCAGAGCGAAGCUGAGGAAGCUGUCCAAGAAUCAAGAAAUGCUGAGGAGAAAGCCAAGAAGGCCAUCACCGAUGUAUGUUUGUCCCAAGUUUCCACGUUAUGAGCAGUUUGCUUUUUGUUUUUCUUUGUUUCUUGGGGGGAGUUUUUGGGUUUUUUUCAUGGUCUUCUUAAAUUUUUUCAAAGGCUGCUCUUAUGGCAGAGGAACUGAAGAAGGAGCAGGACACCAGCUCUCACUUGGAGAGAAUGAAGAAGAACCUUGAGCAAACUGUGAAGGAUCUUCAGCAUCGUCUGGAUGAAGCUGAGCAGCUAGCACUGAAGGGCGGCAAGAAGCAGCUUCAGAAGCUUGAGUCCAGAGUACGUACAAGUCACUGGGUUGUAGUGAAUGAGGUUGAAUUUAGAAAUUGCUAAAUAAUAAUCCUUAAUCUGCUGAUGUGAUCUGCAGGUUCGAGAACUAGAGAACGAACUGGAUAAUGAACAGAAACGUGGAGUUGAGGCAAUUAAAGGUGUGCGCAAAUACGAGAGGAGAGUGAAGGAGCUAUCUUACCAGGUAAAUUAUUAUUCUUCUGUGUAUUAAAAUGAAACUGGUCAUAAAGAAGAAAUAUAUAAGUGUAGAUUAUAUAUAUAUUACUUUAAAAAAAAUAAUAAUUACAAAAAAUAAUGCCAUGAUCUCUAGUAGAUUCUGUAAAACUGUUUUUCCUCUUUCAGACUGAAGAAGACAGGAAAAAUGUCCUGAGAUUGCAGGAUCUGGUGGACAAACUGCAGCUGAAAGUAAAGGCCUACAAGAGACAAGCUGAGGAAUCUGUAAGUACAAACCCAGUGAAUUCUUGUUUGUAGCCAGCCAAAGUCUAAUUAGAAUACCCUGUAAGAAUACCCUACAAGUAGCAGUCAUAUAUACAAAUACUUUGUUAAUUAUUCUUCAUUCAUUCUUGUGUCUUAGGAGGAACAAGCCAACGCUCACUUGGGUCGGUUCAGGAAGGUCCAGCAUGAGCUAGAGGAAGCUGAGGAGAGAGCAGACAUUGCCGAGUCUCAAGUGAACAAGCUCAGAGCUAAGAGCCGUGAUGUCGGCAAGGUACAACCCUAGUUCUAAGUCACUGGUGAUACAAUUUUUCUAUCAUGUUCAGUUUAUCUUUAGUUAUUGUUAUUCACCCUAAAAGUUCUUUAUGGAUGAAGAAGUAUUCUCAAAAUUGGCAUUAUCAAGCUUUUUAAUGGAGGGGGACUUAUAUAACUCAAGAGCAUAACCUUGGAUUAUAGCUGCAGCCUGUUUAAUUUAAUCUAUAUCAUUCGUCUUACAGAAAGAAGGGCAGGAGUGAAGAAGUUUGAAUGACUGAAGAGGGAGAAACUUGCAAAAUGUGAAUUUCUUUCUUCUUUUUUUUUGUAGCACCUAACCUCCAACCACAUCCCCUAUUUUACCCUAAAUAAAUUAUAUAUUUGCAUUUUUCAAUAUGUUGUCAUGUUACUUGUUUGAAAUAGAUUGAUUAUAACAAUAUUACAUCUCUAAUAUUACACAUUACGUCAGUAAGGUGUGAACAGCUUUAGAAUAUCUGACUGUUGAGCGAAAAGUAUAAUUCACAGUUUAAAAAAAACUAUAUAUUCUUUUAUUUACCUUUACAAAAAUAUUCAUCAGUAAUAAACAUUAAAAGGGAACUGU